CGGACAGGAGAGAGACAGCGGACGCCGGCUGGGAUGAAGAUGAGUCGCAGCCGCUGAGCCUCUCCAUCUCGGACACGAGCAAACAAUUGGAGCAAGCAGUGUCCAAGUCUACAAGUCUGAUGCAAAAAUCAAAGAAUAAAGAGAAUCAGGAGCUCAGGGAGGAGAUAAACAUGCUGAAGAAAGAAAUGGAGACACUCCAAAAUCAGCUUAGUCAGUGUGUGACUAUGGAAGACAUGCGAGC